UCAUCUUGGCAGGGUGCAAUGUGGUGUUCGGGAGGGUCCAUUCGUGCCUUGAGCUCUGGUGUCCAAGUCCCCCUGACCGGGGCCAUCGCCCGUUGAGGGUGCAAGGCCUGUUGGGCAGGGCUGUGUCUCCGAUCUCGGCGCGUUGGGUCCCUUCCUUGGAGUCGGGUUGCUUGAGAGUGCAGCCCAAAGUGGGUGGUAAACUCCACCUAAGGCUAAAUACUUUCCACGAGACCGAUAGCAAACAAGUACCGUGAGGGAAAGUUGCAAAGAACUUUGAAGAGAGAGUUCAAGAGUGCGUGAAACCGUUCGGAGGUAAACGGGUGGGAGCGCGAAGGUCGAACGGAUGGGGAGGGAUUCAACUUGGCGUGGUGGCUGGCCUGGCUCGGUUCGCGUCUGGGCGUGCCGUCCUUCCCUUCGCGGGGAGGGUUCGGUCGUCCCGCGUUCUGCCGUGGCCGUAGUCCGCCGUGCCUUGUGCAUUUCCCUGUUCCCCCUCUCCUAGUAGGACGCCGCGACCGGCUGUCGAGGGGAGCCCAGGAGCUGGUUGGAGCAGUUGCGCGGACGAGCAAGGGAUUAGUUCUCUGCGUCCGGUCUGUCUGUCUCCUUCCGCCCGCGGGUCGCUCCCUCCGGCCGAGGAACUGUGCGAGCUGGGCCCUUGUGGUCCCUCGUCCAUGUGCGUGCCCACGAUCUGUCGGUGCGGGUCGAAAGAUCCCAACGGGUGGCGGCGGGUGGCCGCGCGCCAGACUUAGGUCUGCGCGUGCGGACUCCGCGCGUCAGCCGUCUUGAAACACGGACCAAGAAGUCUAACGUGUGGGCGAGUCUUCGGGGACAUUUUGAACCCUUAGAAGGCGAAAUAAAAGUGAAGGCUGGGGAUCGUUCCGCCGCUGCGUGUACCCCUUCGGGGUGUGCGCGCGUGGCGUGAGCGGCCCCGCCCGAGUGGGAUCCCCCGUCUGAUGGCGGGGGCGCAUCACU
rnacentral:rRNA from 1 species